rnacentral:rRNA from 1 species
UUCCGUAGGUGAACCUGCGGAAGGAUCAUUACCGAGUGUAGGGUUCCUAGCGAGCCCAACCUCCCACCCGUGUUUACUGUACCUUAGUUGCUUCGGCGGGCCCGCCAUUCAUGGCCGCCGGGGGCUCUCAGCCCCGGGCCCGCGCCCGCCGGAGACACCACGAACUCUGUCUGAUCUAGUGAAGUCUGAGUUGAUUGUAUCGCAAUCAGUUAAAACUUUCAACAAUGGAUCUCUUGGUUCCGGCAUCGAUGAAGAACGCAGCGAAAUGCGAUAACUAGUGUGAAUUGCAGAAUUCCGUGAAUCAUCGAGUCUUUGAACGCACAUUGCGCCCCCUGGUAUUCCGGGGGGCAUGCCUGUCCGAGCGUCAUUGCUGCCCAUCAAGCACGGCUUGUGUGUUGGGUCGUCGUCCCCUCUCCGGGGGGGACGGGCCCCAAAGGCAGCGGCGGCACCGCGUCCGAUCCUCGAGCGUAUGGGGCUUUGUCACCCGCUCUGUAGGCCCGGCCGGCGCUUGCCGAACGCAAAUCAAUCUUUUUCCAGGUUGACCUCGGAUCAGGUAGGGAUACCCGCUGAACUUAAGCAUAUCAAUAAGCGGAGGAA